rnacentral:rRNA from 1 species
AGAGUUUGAUCCUGGCUCAGAUUGAACGCUGGCGGCAUGCCUUACACAUGCAAGUCGAACGGUAACGGGCCUUCGGGUGCCGACGAGUGGCGAACGGGUGAGUAAUGUAUCGGAACGUACCAUUCAGUGGGGGAUAACGUAGCGAAAGUUACGCUAAUACCGCAUAUUCUGUGCGCAGGAAAGCAGGGGAUCGCAAGACCUUGCGCUGAUUGAGCGGCCGAUAUCAGAUUAGCUAGUUGGUGAGAUAAAAGUUCACCAAGGCGACGAUCUGUAGCGGGUCUGAGAGGAUGAUCCGCCACACUGGAACUGAGACACGGUCCAGACUCCUACGGGAGGCAGCAGUGGGGAAUUUUGGACAAUGGGCGCAAGCCUGAUCCAGCCAUGCCGCGUGAGUGAAGAAGGCCUUCGGGUUGUAAAGCUCUUUCAGCCGGGAAGAAAACGCAUGGGUUAAUACCCUGUGUGGAUGACGGUACCGGAAUAAGAAGCACCGGCUAACUACGUGCCAGCAGCCGCGGUAAUACGUAGGGUGCGAGCGUUAAUCGGAAUUACUGGGCGUAAAGCGUGCGCAGGCGGUUUGGUAAGACAGGCGUGAAAUCCCCGGGCUUAACCUGGGAACUGCGUUUGUGACUGCCAGGCUAGAGUACGGCAGAGGGGGGUGGAAUUCCACGUGUAGCAGUGAAAUGCGUAGAGAUGUGGAGGAACACCAAUGGCGAAGGCAGCC